CCGCGUGCGGGAGGAAGGCCUUAGGGUUGUAAACCGCUUUUAUCAGGGAAGAACACAAUGACGGUACCUGAUGAAUAAGCCUCGGCUAAUUCCGUGCCAGCAGCCGCGGUAAUACGGGAGAGGCGAGCGUUAUCCGGAAUUAUUGGGCGUAAAGCGUCCGCAGGUGGCCAAUUAAGUCUGUCGUUAAAUCGUGGAGCUCAACUCCAUACAAGCGAUGGAAACUGAUUGGCUAGAGUACGGUAGGGGUAGCGGGAAUUCCAGGUGUAGCGGUGAAAUGCGUAGAUAUCUGGAAGAACACCAGCGACGAAAGUGCGCUACUGGGCCUGUACUGACACUCAUGGACGAAAGCCAGGGGAGCGAAAGGGAUUAGAUACCCCUGUAGUCCUGGCCGUAAACGAUGAACACUAGGUGUUGCGCGAAUCGACCCGUGCAGUGCCG
rnacentral:rRNA from 1 species